UCCCCUUCCUCUUGUAUAAAUAGUCCUUGUCUCCCUUUGUCUUGUGUCAGGUUGUUGCUUGCUUUUGCUUCAUGCCAGGAAUUGGGUUUUUUUUGUCAUAGAUUUUCUAGAUCCUGUUGCCACAUGGGUGUGUUGAGUCUCUGUCAGGGAUCCAACCAGGAGCUGAGCUGGGCAUUCUUGUUCUCCCUCACCUGCCUGUCCAUGCACCGGGUUCGAAUUCUCCAAUCAACCACCUUCAAUCAGCUGCCUUUUUAAAGACCUGUUUCUCCUCUCCACCUUCGCCAGAUUGUCCUGCUGCCUUAGUACUCUGCUUAGGUUCACCUGCCCAUGCUAUGCCCCUGUGUUUCUCUCUGCCUGCUUGUAUGUGAACGUAUCCUGGCUCAGCAGCUGAGGAUUCCUGCUAAAGUAAACCGAGACCACUUGCACUCACCCGCCAUCCCCCUGAAUCAACUUAGUCAGAAUGCCUUGUUAGUUAGAGUGAAUUCUUAUCUUCUGUGUGAAGACCUCUUUAACUUUUAGUAGAGCUUUGUGUUUAAUCUCAUUCCUGGUUUCUGUAUGCCCUAUUUUUGGGGUCCCCCUUUUGAAAAAACUUAACAUGAGAUGUGAAUCUGAAAACACAAAAUCAACUGCAUGCAACUGAAAAAAACAAGACCUCAAAUAUUGAAAUAUAUAUGAAAGUGAAAGGAGAGAACAGAUAAUUUAUUCUGAAGAAUUUCUGACCUGAAUAAAUAUUAUAUUUAAACUGGAAAAAGCUUUUCCUACACUUAUUUUUACUUUGAGUACAAUGUUGUAUUUUUAUAAAGCUCAAAAUCUAAUUUUAAACUGUCAACUCAAAUCUUGUUUUCUAGAUUAAUGAAACUUUUGGCCCCGAUUUGGCUCCAUAAAUUAUCACCUUUCAAGAUAUUAUUAAUUGCAAGCAUAAGAAUUGGAUGAACCUCUGGCCAAAAUUUCUCAUAAAAUGUGAACCCAUCUGGACCUGCGCGUUUCUCAUUAGGCAGUUCAGACUACCUCAGGUAUGCAAUCUGCAUUUGGAAAGGAACAGUCCUCUUCCAUGUUGCGGUAGGGAGCAAUGCCAGUAAUGUAUGUAUCUUAAUGUAUCAUUGAUAAUUAAAG